UACGGGGGGGGCAAGCGUUGUUCGGAAUUAUUGGGCGUAAAGAGCUCGUAGGCGGUCUGUCGCGUCGGCUGUGAAAUCCCGAGGCUCAACCGGGGAACUGCGUCUGAUACUGGAUGGCUUGAGUUUGGGAGAGGGAUGCGGAAUUCCAGGUGUAGCGGUGAAAUGCGUAGAGAUCCGGAAGAACACCGGUGGCGAAGGCGGCCUGCUGGGCAGUUUGGCUGACACUGAGGCGCGACAGCGUGGGGAGCAAACAGG
rnacentral:rRNA from 1 species